rnacentral:tRNA from 1 species
UCUUAUCUAAUUUAAAAUAAAAAUAUAUAACUUGUAAUUAUAACACACAGACACUACCUGUGAUAAGAC